rnacentral:rRNA from 1 species
AGGUGGAUUAGUGGCGCACGGGUGAGUAAUGCAUAGGUAACAUGCCCUUUAGUCUGGGAUAGCCACUGGAAACGGUGAUUAAUACUAGAUACUCCCUACGGGGGAAAGAAUUUCGCUAUGGGAUCAGCCUAUGUCCUAUCAGCUUGUUGGUGAGGUAAUGGCUCACCAAGGCUAUGACGGGUAUCCGGCCUGAGAGGGUGAUCGGACACACUGGAACUGAGACACGGUCCAGACUCCUACGGGAGGCAGCAGUAGGGAAUAUUGCUCAAUGGGGGAAACCCUGAAGCAGCAACGCCGCGUGGAGGAUGAAGGUUUUAGGAUUGUAAACUCCUUUCCUAAGAGAAGAUU